rnacentral:lncRNA from 1 species
UUUACAAUUACCCGCGUAGUUAGGGUUUAGAAAGUAUCGAACAACAGUGAGUCUCUCCUCUCUUCUCCGUCAUCGUUGCUGGGAUUUUCAUCAUCGCAGUUGAUAUCGAAGUUUGUGGGGUAAGUUUCUUCACCUGUUCUUCAUAUUUUGUCUUUAUUGAUCUUCAUUUCUCUCAAUAUAUGGGGCUUUUGCUCUGUUUAUGAUUUUUAGGGGAAGGCUGGGUUAGGUCAUAAUCGUUGUUUAAUUUUCCUUAAUAUAUGGGGCUUUUGCUGUGUUUCGUUACAUGUUGGAGUGAAAACCCUUUUUAAUGUAGUGUAAUGCAUGUAAUGACAUAUUUAGUUAUUCCGUUUAGUUUUGGUUUUUUUUUUGUCAAAGCAGAAUUUCAUCUUAGGUUUAUGCAUUUUUUUGUGAAGUUUGUUGGGUCUCCUUCUUGUUAGUGGUCCACUAUAGUAUUUUUGAAUAUUAUAGGAUAUUGUGGGGACGAAAAAGGAAUCUUGGAAGCUUUUUUACUUAAAAAUCUGUCUUUUUUGUUGGUUUGUUUAUGGAGUUGUGUAAAGGUGUAACUUUUGAUAACAAAUAGUCAUUGAUAACACUGUUUUUUUUUUGUUACUUUGCAGGUAUGAGAAGAAAAUAGCUUCAAGCCUUGUUAACCUAUAAAUCCACCACAAUGAUAAUUUUGUAUCGGACCCUGACCUAAGGUAUGCAAAUGGACUACUUUGUCCUCAAUUAGCUACAGUUGAU